ACCGCGGUAGCCCAGUUGGUAGUGGCGUCUGCAGUACAGAUGCCGAAGAUCGCAGUCCGUCGCAGGUUCAAAUCCUGCCUGCGGUG